UUCGAUUAAGCCAUGCGAGUCGCGAGUCUUAGGGACUCGGCGUACCGCUCAGUAACACGUGGGUAACCUGCCCUAUGCUGGGGAAUAACCUCGGGAAACUGAGAAUAAUGCCCCAUAGUUCACCACGCCUGGAACGGUGGGUGGAUCAAAGCUCCGGCGGCAUAGGAUGGGCCUGCGGCGUAUCAGGUCGUAGGGGGUGUAAUGUACCCUCUAGCCAUCGACGCGUACGGGUGUUGGGAGACAUUGCCCGGAGAUGGAUUCUGAGACACGAAUCCAGACCCUACGGGGUGCAGCAGGCGCGAAAACUUGGCAAUGCGAGAAAUCGUGACCAGGGAACUCCAAGUGCAUCGGGUAAGACCGAUGCUUUUCUUGACUCUUCAACGGUCUUGGAAUAAGGGGUGGGUAAGGACGGUGCCAGUUGUUGUGGUAAUAUUGGUGUUUUAAGUGGUAGUUGUUUUUAUUGGGUUUAAAAUGUUUGUAGCCGGUUUGGUACAUUCGUGGGUAAAUCAAGGCGCUCAACGUCUUGAAUUCUGCGAGCACGGCCAGACUUGGGACCGGGUGAGGUGUGGGGUACUCUCAGGGUAGGGGUAAAAUCCUGUCAUCCUGAGAGGACCACCUGUUGCGAAGGCGCCACACUAGAACGGAUCCGACGGUCAGGGACGAAGCCUAGGGGCACGAACCGGAUUAGAUACCCGGGUAGUCCUAGGUGUAAACGCUGUGGACUUGAUGUUGGGAGUGCUCCGAGCACCCUCAGUGUCGAAGCGAAGGUGAUAAGUCCACUGCCUGGGGAGUACGGUCGCAAGGCUGAAACUUAAAGGAAUUGGCGGGGGAGCACUGCAACCUGAGGAUUGUGCG
rnacentral:rRNA from 1 species